rnacentral:lncRNA from 1 species
GUUGUUCAACGUCGCCAAUGCCUCCAUCACCGCCACUUCCCCCACCGCCUUCGGCCGGGUCAACGUCUUCGACGACCGCGUCACGGUGGCACCGGACAUCACCUCCGAGGAGGUCGCCCGAGCUCAGGGGACCACCACUUCCAUGGACCUUAACGUCCAGGCAUACUCCAUGAACCUCAACUUUUUCUUGACGUCGGGAGAGUUCAACGGCAGCACCGUCACCGUCAUCGGCCGGAACCAGUUCGCCGACGAGGAACGCGAGCUGUCGGUGGCCACCGGCUCCAAGGCCUUCCGGGACGCUCGCGGGUACGCGAUUACGAAGAC